CAGUAGCCGCGGGAAUACGUAGGUGGCAAGCGUUGUCCGGAAUUACUGGGCGUAAGGGCGCGUAGGCGGCACGAUUAGUCAGGCGUGAAAUUCCUGGGCUCAACCUAGGGACUGCGCUUGAUACGGUCGAGCUAGAGGAUGGAAGAGGGUUGUGGAAUUCCCAGUGUAGAGGUGAAAUUCGUAGAUAUUGGGAAGAACACCGGUGGCGAAGGCGGCAACCUGGUCCAUUACUGACGCUGAGGCGCGACAGCGUGGGGAGCAAACAGGAUUAGAUACCCCGGUAGUCCCUGUCUCUUAUACA
rnacentral:rRNA from 1 species